rnacentral:misc_RNA from 1 species
AUUUUGAAUAAAACUAAUGAUGUUUCCUAGAUAAGACAAAAAUAAAAUAUAUAGGAACAAGUGUCUUUUCUAUAUUCCUAAUAGAAAAGUUGAAAAGAUACCAACCCCACUAUAAAUUUUCAUUAAAUGUCUAUUUAAACUCGGUAAGAAUAGUAAAGUUAAAACAACAGAAAGACAGGAACACAACAAAUGAACAUGCUCACCUACUUAAGGUAGUGAAAUUAAUAUAAUUAUUUUAGUUUUCAUAUUUUGCUUUUG